AUUGAACGCUGGCGGCAUGCCUUACACAUGCAAGUCGAACGGCAGCGCGGGGCAACCUGGCGGCGAGUGGCGAACGGGUGAGUAAUAUAUCGGAACGUACCCUGGAGUGGGGGAUAACGUAGCGAAAGUUACGCUAAUACCGCAUACGAUCUAAGGAUGAAAGUGGGGGAUGCGCAAGCACCUCAUGCUCCUGGAGCGGCCGAUAUCUGAUUAGCUAGUUGGUGGGGUAAAGGCCUACCAAGGCAUCGAUCAGUAGCUGGUCUGAGAGGACGACCAGCCACACUGGAACUGAGACACGGUCCAGACUCCUACGGGAGGCAGCAGUGGGGAAUUUUGGACAAUGGGCGAAAGCCUGAUCCAGCAAUGCCGCGUGAGUGAAGAAGGCCUCGGGUUGUAAAGCUCUUUUGUCAGGGAAAGAAAACGGUGAGGGCUAAUAUCCCUUGCUAAUGAUGGUACCUGAAGAAUAAGCACCGGCUAACUACGUGCCAGCAGCCGCGGUAAUACGUAGGGUGCAAGCGUUAAUCGGAAUUACUGGGCGUAAAGCGUGCGCAGGCGGUUUUGUAAGUCUGUCGUGAAAUCCCCGGGCGUCAACCUGGGAAUUGCGAUGGAGACUGCAAGGCUAGAAUCUGGCAGAGGGGGGAUAGAAUUCCACGUGUAGCAGUGAAAUGCGUAGAGAUGUGGAGGAACACCGAUGCGAAGGCAGCCCCUGGGUCAAGAUUGACGCUCAUGCACGAAAGCGUGGGG
rnacentral:rRNA from 1 species